CAAGGAUAAAUACUCCUGGGUGACCGAUAGCGAAGUAGUACCGUGAGGGAAAGGUGAAAAGAACCCCCAUCGGGGAGUGAAAUAGAACAUGAAACCGUAAGCUCCCAAACAGUGGGAGGAAAAUGAUAUUUUUGACCGUGUGCCUGUUGAAGAAUGAGUCGGUGACUUAUAGGCAGUGGCUUGGUUAAGGGAACCCACCAGAGCCGUAGUGAGAGCGAGUCUUCAUGGGGCAAUUUUCACUGCUUAUGGACCCGAACCUGGGUGAUCUAUCCAUGACCAAGAUGAAGCUUGGGUGAAACUAAGUGGAGGUCUGAACCGACUGAUGUUGAAAAAUCAGCGGAUGAGUCGUGGUUAGGGGUGAAAUGCCACUCGAACCCAGAGCUAGAUGGUUCUCCCCAAAAUGCGUUGAGGUGCAGCAGUUGACUGGACCAUCUAGGGGUAAAGCACUAUUUCGGUAUGGGCCACGAGAGCGGUACCAAAUUGAGGCAAACUUUGAAUACUAGAUUGCCCCAAUAAAAGGGGUAAAGGUCAUCCAGUGAGACGAUGGUGGAUAAGCUUCAUCGUUGAGAGGGAAACAACCCAUAUCAUCAGCUAAGGCCCCUAAAUGACCACUCAGUGAUGAAGGAAGUACGAGUGCAAAGAUAGCCAGGAGGUUUUCCUAGAAGCAACCAACCUUGAAAGAGUGUGUAAUAACUCACUGAUCGAGCUCUCUUGUGCCAAAUAUGAAAGGGACUAAGCGAUAUGCUGAAGCUGUGGGAUGUAAAAAUACAUCGGUAGGGGAGCGUUCCGCCUCAGAGGGAAGCACCGGCGUGAGCAGGUGUGGAUGAAGCGAAAGCGAGAAUGUCGGCUUGAGUAACGCAAACAUUGGUGAGAAUCCAAUGCCCUGAAAAACUAAGGGUUCCUCCGCAAGGUUCAUCCACAGAGGGUGAGUCAGGGCCUAAGAU
rnacentral:ncRNA from 1 species